CCUACGGGGGGCUGCAGUGGGGAAUAUUGCGCAAUGGGCGAAAGCCUGACGCAGCGACGCCGCGUGAGGGAUGAAGGUCUUCGGAUUGUAAACCUCUUUAGGCGAGGAGCAAUGCCGGGCACGCGUGCCCGGAGGGAGAGUACCCGCAGAAUAAGCAUCGGCUAACUCCGUGCCAGCAGCCGCGGUAAUACGGAGGAUGCGAGCGUUAUCCGGAUUUAUUGGGUUUAAAGGGUGCGUAGGCGGAUUUUUAAGUCAGCGGUAAAAUGUCCGGGCUCAACCCGGGCCGGCCGUUGAAACUGGGGAUCUUGAGUGGGCAAGAAGUAUGCGGAAUGCGUGGUGUAGCGGUGAAAUGCAUAGAUAUCACGCAGAACUCCGAUUGCGAAGGCAGCAUACCGGCGCCCGACUGACGCUGAGGCACGAAAGCGUGGGGAUCGAACAGGAUUAGAUACCCGAGUAGUC
rnacentral:rRNA from 1 species